AUGAACACUUGAGUGAAUGAACAAACGAAUGAAUGAGUGUUAACAGGAAGGAAGGAGAUGGCUCUUCUGCUGUUUGAUCGGCCCUGUCCAACCCAGGAAUGACUGAAGGCCUUUAACAGCCUCCCAGGUGAGUGGUGCACCUGGAUGCCUGAGGGCUGGGAGGCUGCCCCUGACCUGCCAUCCAGAACUCUGGCAGAGGAGGUGGCCAGACUAAGACAAACUGUGCUGGAGCUUCUGGGGCAAUGCCUACAAGUGGAAUGAAGGUCCCCAAAGAUCUUCUCUCUCCUGUCAGCCAACCGAGGGGGUCAGCCAAGUAGGUUAACCUGCUCCUCCCCGCGAGAUGUGAAGAUGUUUCUCUAACCCCUUGGACAUGAGCUGAUCUUGUGACUUGCCUUGGCCAAUAGAAGAUGAUAGAUGUGAUGAUACGCUAGUCCAAGCCUAGGCCGCAAGAGUCCUUACUUGGUCAGGAACUUACAGAAGGCAUGGGGAGAUGGCUUGGCAUUGCUCCCACAUAUCUCUGGGCCUUCAAAUGGGAAGACUUGAGUGGCAAGGGUUGGAGUCCUCUGGAAGCUUCUUGGGUCACAUAUGGCUGGUGCCUGUGCAAGGUUGGGCUCAGCUCUGACUGUCAGCAUCAACAUGUGGCCUGUCCACAGUAUGAUGGCUUCAUAGCAAUCAGACUUUUAAUGUGGUGGCUCCUAAUGGGAUGAAAGUUGCAUGGCCUGCCCUAGCCGGUUUGGCUCAGUGGAUAGAGCGUCCGCCUGUGGACUCAGGGGUCCCAGGUUCGAUUCCGGUCAGGGGCAUGUGCCUUGGUUGCGGGCACAUCCCCAGUGGGGGGUGUGCAGGAGGCAGGUGAUUGAUGUUUCUCUCUCAUCCAUGUUUCUAACUCUCUCUCUCC